rnacentral:rRNA from 1 species
UGCGAUCAUACCAGCACUAAUGCACCGGAUCCCAUCAGAACUCCGCAGUUAAGCGUGCUUGGGCGAGAGUAGUACUAGGAUGGGUGACCCCCUGGGAAGUCC